rnacentral:rRNA from 1 species
AACGAACGCUGGCGGCAUGCCUAACACAUGCAAGUCGAACGAGACCUUCGGGUCUAGUGGCGCACGGGUGCGUAACGCGUGGGAACCUGCCCUUAGGUUCGGAAUAACUCCCCGAAAGGGGUGCUAAUACCGGAUAAUGUCUUCGGACCAAAGAUUUAUCGCCAUUGGAUGGGCCCGCGUUGGAUUAGCUAGUUGGUAGGGUAAUAGCCUACCAAGGCGACGAUCCAUAGCUGGUCUGAGAGGAUGAUCAGCCACACUGGGACUGAGACACGGCCCAGACUCCUACGCAACGCAGCAGUGGGGGAUAUUGGACAAUGGGCGAAGGCCUGAUCCCGCCAUGCCGCGUGAGUGAUGAAGGGCUUAGGGUUGUAAAGCUCUUUUACCCGGGGUGAUAAUGACGGUACCGGGAGAAUAAGCACCGGCUAACUCCGUG